rnacentral:rRNA from 1 species
GCGGCGUGCUUACACAUGCAGUCGCACGAGAAUCCCUGGCUUGCCGGGGAUAGUAAAGUGGCGCACGGGUGAGUAACACGUGAGUAAUCUGCCUUCGAAUCGGGGAUAACCCCGCGAAAGCGGGGCUAAUACCGGAUGAAGUCCGGAUGGUUUUGGCUGUUUGGAUGAAAGGUGGCCUCUACAUGUAAGCUACUGUUUGAAGAUGAGCUCGCGGACCAUUAGCUUGUUGGUGGGGUAAAGGCCUACCAAGGCAACGAUGGUUAGCUGGUCUGAGAGGAUGAUCAGUCACACUGGAACUGACACACGGUCCAGACUCCUACGGGAGGCAGCAGUGAGGAAUUUUGCGCAAUGGGGGAAACCCUGACGCAGCAACGCCGCGUGAGUGAUGAAGGCCUUCGGGUCGUAAAGCUCUGUCGAGUGGGAAGAACCUGCAUUGGAGAUAAUAUUCCGAUGCAUUGACGGUACCACUGGAGGAAGCACUGGCUAACUCCGUGCCAGCAGCCGCGGUGAUACGGAGGGUGCAAGCGUUAUUCGGAAUCAUUGGGCGUAAAGGGCACGUAGGCGGUUUGCUGGGUCGGAUGUGAAAUCCCGGGGCUUAACCCCGGAAGUGCAUUCGAAACUGGCAGACUUGAGUAUGGGAGAGGGAAGCGGAAUUCCUGGUGUAGAGGUGAAAUUCGUAGAUAUCAGGAGGAACACCGGUGGCGAAGGCGGCUUCCUGGACCAAUACUGACGCUGAGGUGCGAAGGCGUGUGGAGCAAACAGGGAUUAGAUACCCUGGUAGUCCACGCAGUAAACGGUGAACACUAGGUUGUAGCGGGUAUUGACCCCUGCUGUGCCGGAGUUAACGCAUUAAGUGUUCCGCCUGGUGAGUACGGCCGCAAGGUUAAACUCAAAGGAAUUGACGGGGGCCCGCACAAGCGGUGGAGCAUGUGGUUUAAUUCGACGCAACGCGAAGAACCUUACCUGGGUUUGACAUCCCGGGAAUCCGUAUGAAAGUAUGGAGUGCCCUUCGGGGAGCCCGGAGACAGGUGCUGCAUGGCUGUCGUCAGCUCGUGUCGUGAGAUGUUGGGUUAAGUCCCGCAACGAGCGCAACCCUUGUCUUCAGUUGUCAGCGAUUCGGUCGGGGACUCUGGAAGAUACUGCCCCGGUU